GGGAGGGGAACCGGGCCGCAGACUCUUCAGGCUCGGGGAGGGAUAGUGAGCAGGGGCCUGGCUGGACGGAGGGCCAGAUUCCGGGAAUGGAGGAGCACAAUCGGGGGCGUACUGAAGUGUAGACGUGGGCGGGGGCGCCGAGGGACAAACAUAGGGAGGGGCAUUGAGGGGGUACCUGACGAGGAUAGAGGUUCUGUCAUGAGAAGGUAAAAACCGCAGGACCAGGGCCAGAGGACCCGCAGACCGAUGGGAGAUAGGGUGGAUGAAACAGCACAGAAAGCCAGGCAUGGCGGGAAAGACUGAGGGACAAGCCGGUACAGAUACGUGGAAAGACGUGCAGAGGAGAUGAUGGGGGUCUGAUGGCGGGUAUUGCAAGGGCUGAGGACAAAGGUGGAGCCAACUACUGGGCACCCAGCGUGGACCACCAUGGGCCCACAGUACAUAUGUCGGUAUGCAUUUGUUGUCUCGAUGACCAAGCCCUGGGAUUCUGCAGCUGUAAAGAAACCAUAGCAGGGACUUUUCCCAGAAUGUGGACUCCAGCCUCAUGAGGACUCCAGACCCCAGGAUUCCAGCCUCAGCAUCCCAGGCUGAGAGGCCAAUGCUGGGGGCGGGGGUGUUUAGCUCUAGCUCCAGCGAAAGCAGACCCACCAUCCCCUUCUUCCCAUCCCCAGGCAGGAGCUGGCAGGAGAUCAGAUGCUACUUCAAUUCCAAGUGGCUCAUGAACAAAAGCUGUGAAGUUGCUAAGAAACCUGCUUCUCUGAGGGUU